rnacentral:rRNA from 1 species
GAUGAACGCUGGCGGCGUGCCUAAUACAUGCAAGUCGAGCGAACGGACGAGAAGCUUGCUUCUCUGAUGUUAGCGGCGGACGGGUGAGUAACACGUGGAUAACCUACCUAUAAGACUGGGAUAACUUCGGGAAACCGUAGCUAAUACCGGAUAAUAUUUUGAACCGCAUGGUUCAAAAGUGAAAGACGGUCUUGCUGUCACUUAUAGAUGGAUCCGCGCUGCAUUAGCUAGUUGGUAAGGUAACGGCUUACCAAGGCAACGAUGCAUAGCCGACCUGAGAGGGUGAUCGGCCACACUGGAACUGAGACACGGUCCAGACUCCUACGGGAGGCAGCAGUAGGAAAUCUUCCGCAAUGGGCGAAAGCCUGACGGAGCAACGCCGCGUGAGUGAUGAAGGUCUUCGGAUCGUAAAACUCUGUUAUUAGGGAAGAACAUAUGUGUAAGUAACUGUGCACAUCUUGACGGUACCUAAUCAGAAGGCCACGGCUAACUACGUG